ensembl:lncRNA
UAGCACCUACGUGUGCGGCAGGGUGAGACGUGGUCCAAGGGAAUGUAAAAAAAAUCUGGAGGACUGCUGACUAAGGAACACUUACACAACUGGGCCCCACAGAGAUCCCCAAAGACCUUGAUGAGAGCGACGGUGCCGUAGCAGACCUUGGACCUGCCGUUACAGAAGCUUCGGCAAUGGACUUGACUGUUACCCCUGACCCUCCUGCAACCGAACCAGAGACGUCCCCAGAAGAUGUUGCGGCAACGGAAGGAGCCGCGACAACGGAAGCAGCCGCGGCAACAGAAGCAGCCACGGCAACGGAAGCAGCCGCUUCAACGGAAGUUGUCACCGGGACGGCGCUCCCCAGCACUGCAUUGAAUACCGAAGACACUGUGAAAACGGAAGCCCCAGCUGCUUCUACUGCAUCACCAGAACCCAUAGUCACUGUAGUGGACAUAACAGACCCCAGUAACACAGCAGAGGGUGAAGUCCAGCCAACGGAAGCAGUGACAGAAAAAGCGGUGGUUGUUGAAGAACAGUCAGAUGAGGGCAUGAGCUCUGGCCAGGUAGUCGGGGUCGUGAUUGGCGCUCUGUUGGCAGUGGUCAUCGCCAUCGCCGUGGUGAUCGCUGUGGUGAGGAGGAUGGGAAAAUACUCCCCUUGAGGAAGAAGUCGGCCAAGCGGCGGGAGCGUUUAAAGUUCUGGAAAUCCUGAACUACUGAACUGUGACGUCAUUCACGACCAUUAAAACAAGCACCAUACCGUAACUAAACUAAUCUAACCAGCACUCUGGACUUUUGCCAAAUAGGGGGAGGGAGGCUAGUAUGUGUUAAUGUAUGAACUGUAUGUAUGUGAGACGAGGGGUACAUGAGCAGACAUCCUCAUCUUCCCUGUCGCAUCCCUCCCCACUGCUCCCCCGGAGAGAACAAAACAAGGUGACGGCAGGAUGUAGUUUGGAAUUUCAGGCCUUUUUUAAAAGCAUUUUGUUUAGAAAAAAAGAGAGAAAGGAAUGUAGAGGAUUAUCUGACCUUUAGGCAUAAAACGUAUCCCUCAAAGAAUGACCGAUGACACAAAUGGAUAUUACUGAAAAAACAAAAGGAAGUUAAUUACAAAUGGAAGGUGCCAGCAGUAGAAAUUGCUCCAAAUUCCACAGAAUGUAUAUAUACCACGCAAGGGGACUACAUAGCACACAGCUAAUGACUUUCUCAUAUGUUGCAGUUGCAUAGGCGAGCGUUUGUUAUUAUAGAAUACACAGUACAUACAGGCAGGCUGCUGUUGUGGCUACCAGAACUUUUAAAGCAACCCUGAGCACCAGUUAAAAUAUUUUCUCAUGUAGCCAGAAUCCCUGAUAUGUCGGCCAACCGUCUGCAGCACCGUGUGCACGAGUUGUUUUGACACAGCGCGCCCAUGAGCGCUGAGGGCGAGCACGCAGCGAACGGGAAAGAAAAGGCACCCUCGUUUGCAAGAGCAACGUGACAUUCUGCCCACUUUAACACUGACGUAUAAAAACCUAAUACAUAUCUGUGAAAUUCAGCAGAAGGGUUUGUGCCACUGUCUCUGGUAUUCUCUAGGUAGUUUGGAGGACUUUAACUUUUGAAGUGCAUUAUUAAUGUGAAUUGACUGUACCUUUUUAACUGCCACCCAUUCCAGACAGAACAGCUAGUAUGACUUGUUCCAUAUUAAAGCUUACGAAACAGCCCUUGGUUAUUAGACAUAGUGAUAGCAUUGUCUUGAGAAUGUCUUCAUAGUACUUUUGUUAAUAGUUAGAUUACCAGAACAGCAAACCGGUCCUUAAAAUGAGCUAACCCCCCCGAUUGCGUGCACAGGUUGACAUUUUAUAGUUUCACUUAGUUUUAGUACACAGUAUUAGGCAGUAAUGCCCUAUUUUGUUAUUGUUGCAAUUGUAAGUGUGCCGAAUGGGUGUACAAAUAAUGAAGUCUCAGCUUCGCUCUGCUUGCUUUACAAACUCGUUUAACAUGUGCACUCAAUGAGUGAUGUAAUGUUUAAUGAAUAGGUUUUAGACACUGCAAAAGUUUGCAACGACAUGUCUUUGUUUCCUCUCCUCAGCUUUGCCACGUACCAUCAGCUCUAGGUUUAAUUUGUGCCAUUGGAUCUAUUCAAACCCUUUUAUUUAAUUGCAGUGUUUUUGUUCAUACUGUUUCAAUAAUAAACUGAAAACACUCUUAAAAAAAA